rnacentral:rRNA from 1 species
AGGAAAUAGAUACCCGGGUAGUCCACGCCCUAAACGAUGUCAACUAGUUGUUGGGGGGGUAAAUCCCUUAGUAACGCAGCUAAACGCGUGAAAGUUGACCGCCUGGGGAGUACGGUCGCAAGAUUAAAACUCAAAGGAAUUGACGGGGCCCGCACAAGCGGUGGAUUAUGUGGAUUAAUUCGAUGCAAACGCGAAAAACCUUACCUGGCCUUGACAUGCCACUAACGAAGCAGAGAUGCAUUAGGUGCCCGAAAGGGAAAGUGGACACAGGUGCUGCAUGGCUGUCGUCAGCUCGUGUCGUGAGAUGUUGGGUUAAGUCCCGCAACGAGCGCAACCCUUGCCAAUAAUUGCCAUCAUUCAGUUGGGCACUUUAUUGGGACUGCCGGUGACAAACCGGAGGAAGGUGGGGAUGACGUCAAGUCCUCAUGGCCCUUAUGGCCAGGGCUUCACACGUAAUACAAUGGUCGGUACAGAGGGUUGCCAACCCGCGAGGGGGAGCCAAUCCCAGAAAGCCGAUCGUAGUCCGGAUUGUAGUCUGCAACUCGACUAC